rnacentral:rRNA from 1 species
GACGAACGCUGGCGGCGUGCUUAACCCAUGCAAGUCGAACGGUAAGGCCCUUCGGGGUACACGAGUGGCGAACGGGUGAGUAACACGUGGGUUAUCUGCCCUGCACUUCGGGAUAAGCCUGGGCAACUGGGUUUAAUCCCGGAUAGGCCCAUGCGCUUCCCGGUGUGGGGUGGAAAGCUUGUGCGGUGUGGGAUGGGCCCGCGGCCUAUCAUCUUGUUGGGGGGGUAAUGGCCUACCAAGGCGACGACGGGUAGCCGGCCUGAGAGGGUGACCGGCCACACUGGGACUGAGAUACGGCCCAGACUCCUACGGGAGGCAGCAGUGGGGAAUAUUGCACAAUGGGCGCAAGCCUGAUGCAGCGACGCCGCGUGAGGGAUGACGGCCUUCGGGUUGUAAACCUCUUUCAGCACCGACGAAGCGCAAGUGACGGUAGGUGCAGAAGAAGGACCGGCCAACUACGUGCCAGCCGCCGCGGUAA